rnacentral:ribozyme from 1 species
CUGAAAGAAAAAAAAAAAAAAAAAAAAAAAAAAAAC